rnacentral:rRNA from 1 species
AACGAUAACGGCGUCGAGCGGCGGACGGGUGAGUAAUGCCUGGGAAAUUGCCCUGAUGUGGGGGAUAACCAUUGGAAACGAUGGCUAAUACCGCAUAAUAGCUUCGGCUCAAAGAGGGGGACCUUCGGGCCUCUCGCGUCAGGAUAUGCCCAGGUGGGAUUAGCUAGUUGGUGAGGUAAUGGCUCACCAAGGCGACGAUCCCUAGCUGGUCUGAGAGGAUGAUCAGCCACACUGGAACUGAGACACGGUCCAGACUCCUACGGGAGGCAGCAGUGGGGAAUAUUGCACAAUGGGCGCAAGCCUGAUGCAGCCAUGCCGCGUGUAUGAAGAAGGCCUUCGGGUUGUAAAGUACUUUCAGCAGUGAGGAAGG